CCCUUAGACGUUCUGGGCCGCACGCGCGCUACACUGACCAGUGCAACAAGCAUCCGUCCUUGGCCGACAGGCCCGGGCAAUCUUUGAACGCCGGUCGUGAUGGGGAUAGACUUUUGCAAUUUUUGGUCUUCAACGAGGAAUUCCUAGUAAACGCAAGUCAUCAACUUGCAUUGAUUACGUCCCUGCCCUUUGUACACACCGCCCGUCGCACCUACCGAUUGAAUGGUCCGGUGAAAUCUCGGGACGGCGGCUUGGUCGCUUGCGUCCGACUGCUGAAACUUGAUUAAACCAUAUCAUUUAGAGGAAGGUGAAGUCGUAACA
rnacentral:rRNA from 1 species